GACGAACGCUGGCGGCGUGCUUAACACAUGCAAGUCGAACGGAAAGCCCCUGCUUUUGUGGGGUGCUCGAGUGGCGAACGGGUGAGUAACACGUGAGUAACCUGCCCUUGACUUUGGGAUAACUUCAGGAAACUGGGGCUAAUACCGGAUAGGAGCUCCUGCUGCAUGGUGGGGGUUGGAAAGUUUCGGCGGUUGGGGAUGGACUCGCGGCUUAUCAGCUUGUUGGUGGGGUAGUGGCUUACCAAGGCUUUGACGGGUAGCCGGCCUGAGAGGGUGACCGGCCACAUUGGGACUGAGUUACGGCCCAGACUCCUACGGGAGGCAGCAGUGGGGAAUAUUGCACAAUGGGCGGAAGCCUGAUGCAGCAACGCCGCGUGCGGGAUGACGGCCUUCGGGUUGUAAACCGCUUUCGCCUGUGACGAAGCGUGAGUGACGGUAAUGGGUAAAGAAGCACCGGCUAACUACGUG
rnacentral:rRNA from 1 species